CUAGCAGUCCUGCCAGAACUCGAUUGAUCCAGGUUUCCUUUGCUGUAGUUUAUAGAUGAUCUGAUCAAAAUUAAAAUACAGCUGCAAUCUGGAGGCCCAUAUGUGAACAACUGUGUUCAAACCAUUUGCAUUUUUCCCCAGAUCCAGCACUCCUUGCUUUGAUUGUCCUUACUCUCAGUAAAUAUCCCAGACUUUGAUACCACUUUGAUCAAAACAUUGCUGUAAUGAAGUCUAUUUUUUACUGAUUUUUCAGUUUCUGUAGUUUUUAAUAGCUAGAAAGUAAGUAAACCAGUCUAGAAAAACCUGACUUUUUAUGUGAUACAUGACCUUGUGUUGGUGAUUGUGUAUUUUGUAUUUUGCAUGUACACUUAGUAAAAAAUCCUAAAUAAUACCUGGUUUUUCAAGAUAAUUAACCAUGUGAGUAUGUAUCUCAAAUGUGCUCUUGGGCACUUUUCUAAAUUAAACAAGGACUCUUCUCCAACUCACUGUGGACUAUUUAAGUGACUCCAGGGAAUUGGAUUAGAUAGUUAAGAGUCCAGAAUAUAAUAUAAAUAUGUAUGUGCUUAAAUAAGAUAUCAUUUUCUGACCACUGAAAUAUGACCAGCAUUUGUUUUCUUCUGCUAGAUUUUGGAUCUUGGUAAUUAGUUUUCAGUUAAAUGUCAUUUGUUUCUUGGUUUCUUAUAGUUAUUGCUGUCCUGGUGAUUUGCACCUGCUUGUAUAAAUUUCUUUCCAGAAAGAAGACACAGUAAAUUAAAAGCAUGCUUCUUCGAACUUACUGGUCCUUCUCACUGUUGACAUAUUUCUGUGAAGCUUUUGUUUGUAGUCUGUAUCACAUGCCAUCUUUUUUUAAAGCGUGCCUUCAUGAGUGCACCAUCUGACUGGCAUUUGUCUACUAAAAAUAUUUUCAACUGGUUUUACUAUCUUUGCCAACAGGAGUACUCUGUGCAGAGUUGCUUCAGUUAUUUUUUUCUGUGGGAUUUGUGGUUUCAGUUCUACAGUGAAUCAUGGAUUAUUAUGAGUCCUUCCCUGCCCAGCUACCAGUGAAUGAGUCUCUAAGCUGGACAUCCAUUUCAGGAUGGCAACAUAGGAAGAUCUGAACUUACCUCCUCUUCCAACGCUUGGAAUCUACAGCUACACAUAGAACAAUUCCUUUGAAAGAAAUCCAGAAAACUGCCGGGUGACUACACAGCAGGUGGAGGAAAACCCCCCAUGAACGUGGGUAGCAGAGGCGAGACCCUGUCUUCUCAUAAGCCCCGCCCCUGGCGCAGCAAGCCCCAAUCAGAUGGGAACUCACAACUCAGACUUUCCCUGAUGAGUGAAGUGUUGGAACCCCACAUCCGACACCCCAACUUUUAAGACCUGUUGUCUGAGAGAUGGGUCCCCCAAACUUCCAUCUCUGAAAGUCAGCAGGGUCAUGUCCUGAGGACCCAGGAGGCUAGUGAAUGGAGAAACGGUUCUUAAAAGGCUCGCCGGGCUCACUGGGGUAACCCCCAGGCAUGGUGCCAAGGCAGCUGGCAGAGACUUGCCAAAUCUUUCUGUGAAAGAGACCUGUUUGCUUAUUUGUAAAGUUUUGGCCUGAGGGUCAGUCAUCUAGUACAACACACACUUAGGAGUCCAGACACUGUCCAAAGGCCAUGAAGGCUGGGAGCCCCAUCUCUGGCUCCCCCUGUCCCCCGCUCCAGGUAACUGGCGUCUCUCAAGAAGGAGCUGGGCACACAACCGGGUCCCUGGUAUUUGUGGCUGCUGCGCAGGGAACACCUUUUGGUUGCCCUGUAUUGGUGACCAGAGGGGCUAAUGUUCAUGGCCCCACAGUGACAAAGGGAGAGAGAGUUCUUAACCAGCUGCCCCCAGGACACAGCACAGUGGCAGCCGACUGAAACGAACCCCAUCUUGCUGCGAGAGAAGCCUGUUACCUGCCUAGCUGCAGCCCGAGGAUCUUCUGCUAAACGGACAUCUGGGGACAGACCGCACCUCCUCAGGCCCCUUGGAAAGAGGGUGCUGUCUGCUCCUCUCCCUGCCGUGCUCCAGGUCACCGGUAUCUCCCGAAAAGAAGCUCGCACACACUUCUGGUGCCUCAGUGUUUGUGGCCGCCAUCCAGGGGACACCCCUUGCCCGCCAGCCCCUGUGGUCAGCAGGGCUUGUGUUCAUGGGUUCAGUGGGGCAGCAGCGAGCCAAGAAGCUUAUCUGUAACUGACCGUCACCCCAGGGCCCCGUGCAGAGGAAGCACACAGAAACACCCAUCUCCCUGUGUUCCCUGAAAGACGUGUAAUUACAUACUUGACAAGAGUAUGCUGCCUGAGGGCCUGGUCUCCAGUCAGCCAGAAUCUAGAAGCUGACUAAGCUCCUCCCCUUUGGGAGGAUCCUUCAACCACUGGAAGCCAGUAAGAAAAAGGUGGGCUGCCUGGACAAUCACAAGGUUUGAGUGACAACUGAAAGCUGGGCACGGUUGAAUGAUAAGGGACAUCUAUACGUGAACACUCCUUUAGGACUGGGAGAGGUGAUUGUUUAUCAAAUGCACAGAAACCAAUACAGAGAGUCAAGGAAAAUGAAAGAACAGGAAUAUGUUUCAAAUGAAAGAACAAGAUAAAACCUCAGUAAAAAAUCAUAACGAAACAAGCGAUUCACCUGUGCACUGAUGUGAAUGGAUAAAGAAAAAGCCUUACAUGUAUACAGUCAAAUAUUAUUCAACCAUAAAAAGGAUAAGUCUUGCCAUUGCAACAACAUGGAUGGACUGUGAGGGCAUUUGCUAAGUGAAAUAAGUCAGACAGAAAGAAAAAUACCAUAUGAUCUGGCUCCAUGUGGAAUCUUUAAAAAAAAGCCAAGCUCAUAAAUACAGAGUACAGAUUGCUGAUAUACCUCCAGAGAUGGGGAGGCGGGAGUGGAUGAAGUGAAAGGGGUCAGAAGGUAGAAACCUCCAGUUAUAAAUAAGUCAUGGGAAUGUAAUGUACAGCAAGGCGGCUAUGGUUAGCAAUACUGUAUAGUUGAAAGUUGCUGAGACACUAGAUCUUAAAAUGUUCUCAUCACAAGGAAAAAUAAAAAUAAUUUUGUAACUAGGUACAGUGACAUGUUAACUAGACAUUGUGGUGGUAAUUUUGCAAUAUUUAUAAAUACUGCAUAUAAAGUUGUACAUCUGAAACUAAUACAAUGUUAAGUGUCAAUUAUACCUUGAUUUUGGAAAGUGGACAAAGGAUCUGAAUAGACAGGUUUCCAAAGAAGACAUACAAAUGGCCAACAGAUACAUGAAAAGGAGUUUAACAUCACUAAACAUCAGGGAAAUGCAAAUCAAAACCACAAUGAGAUACCAUCUCACACCUGUUAGAAUGGCUUUUAACAGAAGACAAGAAAUAAUAGUUUUUGGCAAGGAUCAUGGAAAAGGGGAUCCUUGUGUACUGUUGAUAGGAAUGUAAAUUGGUGCAGCCGCUAUGCAAAACAGUACGAAGGUUCCUCAAAAAAUUAAAAAUAAAACCAUCAUGAUCCAGCAGUUCCACUGACAGGUAUUUAUCUGAGGAGAUAAUACUACUAUUUCAAAAAGAUAUCUGCACCCCCGUGUUCAUUACAGCAUUAUUUACAGUAACCCAGAUAUGAAAGCAACCUAAGUGUCCAUCAGCAGAUGAAUGGAUAAAGAAAAUGUAGUGUGUGUAUAAAUAAAAUGGGAUAUUAUAUAUAUAACUAUAUAUUCCAUUAUAUGUAUAAUUGGGUAUUAUUCAGCUAUAAAAAAAGCAGGAAAUCUUCCCAUUUGAGACAAUGUAGUUGGACUUUCAGGGCAUUUUGCUAAGUGAAAUCAGAGACAAGUAUUUUACAUUACUUAUAUGUACAAUGUUAAAAAAAAAUCUUUCUUCCAUGCUUCCUAGUCUGGGAAUCCACAGCCCUUGCCCUGUCGUUUGCUACUUCUCUGGGUCCCAUUUUGGGUGACAUGACUCUGUGGUUCCGAAAAACAGAUGCCUUUGUUUACAUGACUGUUUUUACUUAUUUGUAAUGACUUUUUUCAUAAAUGCAUAAUUUUCUUUACUCCAGUUAAAUCAUCAAAGCAAGCAUUCACUAGUGAGAGUUGAUUAGAACUAUUUGCAUAAUUUAUAUAUUUUAUUACCUGUGACUAGUUAUAUUUAUUUCAUUAAGGGUAUUUAUUAUCUGUUAUAACUGAAAGCUAUCUUUAAUGUUAUAUUAAUAAUGACUGAUCCAGUAACUUUGUAAUUUCUAAGCUGUCUGCUUAAAUGAAUGUUACAAAGGUUUGUGAGAUUUACUGUGUCUUAACGGCUAGUUCAGGUAGUGGGGUAAUGACAUGGGGCAAAAAGCUGAAGGAUCAAAUUGAGCAUUUUACAUUUUAGCUCUCAAAUUCUCGAGCAUUUGACAAACUCCUCAAAAAUUUAAAUUUGACUAGUAAGUAACAAAGGCUGUGUAAUUAGUAGAAAGAGCACAUGAAAUUAUGAGUUGUGAAAUUUAGGCCUAUCCCAGAGAAAUGGGAGGUCAUGUGAGACCUUCCCUGAGGUUGACGCCACAUGUGCCAGGGGAAGAAACCGCUCGGUGCAAAAGCCAUCAUGCACCUGAAAAUGUGUGACUUGUCCUAAAAUUGAUUACUAAGACAUUGCUCAUGGAUUUAAUAAGAUCUCGGUGUACUCUCUCCAUAUCUAAGGUGCUAGAGACCAGGAUGGCUUCUUACAGUCUUGCUCUGUGAGAGAGUUCACAGUGUUCACUGAAGGCCAGGUGGUUUCAGAGGUAAACUGACUGCACAGAGGUGCAGAGUCCGUUCUGCCUGUAAGUCUUCAAAGCGAAAGAGCUUCUCGCGUAAGGUGCCUGUUCUGGACUGGACGGCCAGGACCGCCCUUGUCAUUGUGAGCGGAUUGUCGCCCCCACCUCACCCUCUGCCAGGGACUUUGUCCAACUGAUGUGCCGCUCACUUCCCCUGGUUUGGUGUCAUGAGUUUAUUCUGCCCUUUUCCCAUCCUCUGUUCAGCACAUACCUAACUGGUGAGAGCCACAGAGAAGUAAAAUUUAUUUUUCUCUGAGGAGAAGCAUUUAUUUUGAAAGUUAUCUGCUUUCUGUGUUUGUUUUGAGAGAUGUCCUUUCUUUUGAAAAAUGUCCGAUGAAUAUUUGGGUAACAUUAACGUGAGCUAAGAUACACUGGCAGUAAACAUCACAGAGGACACAGAUUCCUGUUCUCUGCUAAGUUGCUGAGGUUUUCUUACACCGUUCCCGUUUUGCACAUAAGUAGCAUGUACUGACAGGCGCUGACGUGGGCUCCGGGAGAGGCGUGUCGCCUUGUCCUUUCAUCAGACUGUCUGGCUUCUUCUGCCUUCUAGCAGCUGUGAACCCAAAAGCAAGGGGAUAUUUUUAGCCCAGUGGGAAAUAAUCACAGAAUCUGUUCAAGUGCAGGGAGGAAAAAUAGCGGUUUCUAAAACCCCAAAUACGUUUUAUUUAAUUUUGUAAAUAAAUUCAACUUGUAAAUAUCAAUGCAAUCAAGGCAUUGAUCUGUUUCCUUUGAUCAGAAUAUUGUUAGUAUAUGAACAAAAAAAACCAACAAAUAAUUCUUAGUUUUGAAACAGUGAAUUGCACUGCCUUAAACCCACUGACCCCCUCCACCUUCUGCCCUUGAAUUGGGAGAGUGCCUGCAUUUGGGCCAGAACGUGCCCCCAUAGCUGGGAAGAGGGAGCUGUGUAUCCCACCACUUACGGUGGGAGGCGUUACCCUCGGUUACAAUCAAGCGCUUGGGAGCAGAAAGGCCAAUAGGAGAAGCCACAGUGGUAUCUUUGCUCACAGAGCCGAAGGGGAGAACAACAUGCUAGAACUGGCCAUGUGCCCGCCUUGUGUGUCUGCUUGGUCUCAGAGUUCCUUUGAAGCUAAAGCCCACCAGGAAAGGAGUUCUCAGAUUGUCCUGAGCUUCCAGCAUGCCCACCUCCACCCAAGAUCCGCAAUGGGCAUCUCAUCGGAGGACGUGUAGCUCCCUAUCUCCCUGGGAUGACAGUCACCUACACUUGUGACCCAGGCUACCUGUUGGUGGGAAAAGCCUUCAUUUUCUGUAUGCACCAGGGAACCUGGAGCCAGUCUGAUCAGGAUUGCAAAGGGCCAUAUGAUGCUCUCAUAGUUGUUAAGUUUCAUGAAGGAUUUGCUGAGGUACUCUAGCAUCUUUAACAGUAAGUAUCCCCUUAUGAUGAAUGAAAUGUAAAAUGAGAGAUCAAGAUAUCUUAUAAUGCAAUUUCAGUUAAAAAGAAAAUAAAUUCAGACCAUGGUGUGGCAAAACUGGUAUCCUCGGAUGCAUGUAGAGUGAGUGUCCUUUAUCAAAGUUCCUGUGCAAUCAUCAACCCAUUACAAAUGAAAUGAAAAAUCAUUCUUCAGAGUCAUACUAUCUUUGAACCUUUACAAAUGAACUAUCCUUCUUCCUAUUUUAAUGUGACUGGAGAAUGCAACUUCCUCUUUGGUUUAUAACCUGGGAAUAUUUCAGAAUGGUAGUCUCGCCCACUUGCACAAUUUUCUAAGCCCAUGUCUGUGAUCUGCUUAUGGAAGAAAAAUAGCUUUGUGAUACGGUUUACUUCAAAGAGAAUUAGUAGAGUCUGUUGCAUAGAAGAGCAGGUACC